rnacentral:rRNA from 1 species
CAGCUAGUUGGUGGGGUAAUGGCCUACCAAGGCGACAAUCCGUAGCUGGUCUGAGAGGACGACCAGCCACACCGGAACUGAGACACGGUCCGGACUCCUACGGGAGGCAGCAGUGGGGAAUAUUGGACAAUGGGGGAAACCCUGAUCCAGCGACGCCGCGUGUGUGAAGAAGGCCUGCGGGUUGUAAAGCACUUUUAGUGGGGACAAAAAGCUACGGAUUAAUACUCUGUGGUCUUGAUUUAACCCAAAGAAAAAGCACCGGCUAACUCUGUGCCAGCAGCCGCGGUAAUACAGAGGGUGCGAGCGUUAAUCGGAAUUACUGGGCGUAAAGCGCGCGUAGACGGUUUUGUAAGUCAGAUGUGAAAUCCCUGGGCUCAACCUGGGAACUGCAUUUGAAACUGCAUGGCUAGAGUAUGGAAGAGGGAAGUGGAAUUUCCGGUGUAGCGGUGAAAUGCGUAGAUAUCGGAAGGAACACCAG